AGCUACAUGGCGCAGUGGUUAGCGUGCUGGGCCCAUAACCCAGAGGUCUAAGGUUCGAAUCCUUGUGUAGCUA
rnacentral:tRNA from 1 species